rnacentral:tRNA from 1 species
GGGAGUAUAGCUCAGUGGUAAAGCGUUCGACUGGAGAUCGAGAGGUCCCCGGUUCAAGUCCGUGUAUUUUCU